GGCAGACAGAGAGGAUUCAUCAGGAGGCUGGGAAGUGCACGUCUCUGGCUCAGAAAUCACAUCUACCUAAUUGUUCUAAAUGACACAUUGAGAUUAUGUCUUACAGUGUAGUUCUAAAUUUAUACAAAGAGUACAUAGCUUACAGCUCAUUAAAUGCCACUGUGAAGAAACUGUCUGUCUGGAUUAUGAGAGAGUAUCCUGUCAGAGAGUUCUGAAGAAAGCUGUGCACAGCUACCAGCUGGAAAACAGAGCACUGAGGUUUCCCUGCUUCCAAAUCUACACUCUGAACUCAUGCGACAGCGGAGUGAACAGCCCCAGCAGGUUUGGUGUAAUUGUUUUCCGAGCUCGACUUCUG
rnacentral:lncRNA from 1 species